rnacentral:lncRNA from 1 species
UCUCUUGUAUAGCAUUGAUGUUAUGCACAAUCAUUGAUUUCAAGGUUAAUUUGAAUAAGAGUUCUUGGAUGCCAUGAAAAGAACUUAUUUAUCUGUGGUGUGAUGGAACUCUUUGUCCAUGACUAUUAUCCUUCUUAAAGAAAACGCGCAGAAGGUCAGAGAUAUUGCCGCUAAAUUCCACCUGAGGGGUAAGUGUGUCAGCCAAGACCUUAAACAAAUAACUAACUUGUUGCUUCGAGACCUUCAACAAAAAACUAGCAUGUCAGUCCAAAACAUUCAAUAAGGAACUCCGUUUUAGCAUAUUCUUCCGCCUUUUCAUUGUAGACCCCGUAAAAAUGUGGAGUUUACCUGGAUUUGGAUAUUGCUUACGCAAUCUAAUUUUGAUGGAACUAUUUGGAACAUUCAUAUCCACGUUUAUGGGGUUUGGUUUGUUGGUCUAGUUGAAGGAAGCCUGAAUGCAUCGCAUCACUAUUAAAGUAAAGUAUGAAGAAGAAAAAAUUAGGAUGAUUACAUUAUAUGUGGAAAGUAAAGUUCGUCGGAUUGGGAUCUUUCCGGUGCAUUAUUGGUUGUCAAACUCCACACGACUCUUUUAAAAGUGAUAAUCUGUCUUUAUUAAAACUUGUAUUCACCCUUUUAUAUUGAUUUUAUCGUGGCAGUUUGUUUUUUUACCCCUUUUUCAAUUUUAUCUAGUUUCACUAAGAUCCCAAUGUUUUUUGGAUUUGUUUUAUUAUAUCAUAUUUUUUUUUGUUACUUCAUAUAUAAUCUAUCCAUAAUAAUAGUUUUAUUUUUUCCUUAAACAACAAUGAAAUAAAGUCCCACAUAAGGGCAAAACAUAAAAAACAAUAUAACAUAAAAUCAUAUUUGUGUUGUCUAUAUAUCUCAGAAAAUAACGUAUAAAAAAAUCAGUACAAUGUAUCAUUGAAGAAAAAUCUACUAUUAAUGAUGAAAAUAAAUAUAUAUUUGUUGUAUAAAAA